rnacentral:rRNA from 1 species
UACACUCCUGCGGGAGGCAGCAGUGGGGAAUAUUGCACAAUGGGCGCAAGCCUGAUGCAGCCAUGCCGCGUGUAUGAAGAAGGCCUUCGGGUUGUAAAGUACUUUCAGCGGGGAGGAAGGCGAUAAGGUUAAUAACCUUGUUGAUUGACGUUACCCGCAGAAGAAGCACCGGCUAACUCCGUGCCAGCAGCCGCGGUAAUACGGAGGGUGCAAGCGUUAAUCGGAAUUACUGGGCGUAAAGCGCACGCAGGCGGUCUGUCAAGUCGGAUGUGAAAUCCCCGGGCUCAACCUGGGAACUGCAUUCGAAACUGGCAGGCUAGAGUCUUGUAGAGGGGGGUAGAAUUCCAGGUGUAGCGGUGAAAUGCGUAGAGAUCUGGAGGAAUACCGGUGGCGAAGGCGGCCCCCUGGACAAAGACUGACGCUCAGGUGCGAAAGCGUGGGAGCAAACAGGAUUAGAAACCCUAGUAGUCCCAUGA